rnacentral:rRNA from 1 species
AAAAACAUAGNUUAAAGAACUUUUUUAAGUAACCCCCGCCCGGUGAUUUUUUUUUAACGGCCGCAGUACCCUGACUGUGCUAAGGUAGCAUAAUAAAUUGGCUUUUAAUUGGAGUCUAGAAUAAACGGGGUUACGGAAAUAAUCUGUCUCAUUUUAAAACCCUUAAAUUAUUUAUAAGGUGAAAAUACCUUAAUUUUGAAAAUAGACGAGAAGACCCUAUGAGUUUUUAGAACAGGGAAAAUUCUAUUCUUUUUACUGGGGCGGUAGGGAAUCAUAAAACAUUCCUUAAAUCAAGAAUUUCUAGAAAUUUAAACUACCUUAGGGAUAACAGCAUAAUUUUUUUUUUAGUUUGUGACCUCGAUGUUGGACUAGGAAAUUUUAGGAAAAGUAGUCCUAAAAAAUGUUCUGUUCGAAACUA